rnacentral:rRNA from 1 species
AAUAGAUACCCGGGUAGUCCAUGCCGUAAACGUUGGGAACUAGAUGUGGGGACCAUUCCACGGUCUCCGUGUCGCAGCUAACGCAUUAAGUUCCCCGCCUGGGGAGUACGGCCGCAAGGCUAAAACUCAAAGGAAUUGACGGGGGCCCGCACAAGCGGCGGAGCAUGCGGAUUAAUUCGAUGCAACGCGAAGAACCUUACCAAGGCUUGACAUAUACGAGAACGCUGCAGAAAUGUAGAACUCUUUGGACACUCGUAUACAGGUGGUGCAUGGUUGUCGUCAGCUCGUGUCGUGAGAUGUUGGGUUAAGUCCCGCAACGAGCGCAACCCUCGUCGUAUGUUGCCAGCACGUAAUGGUGGGAACUCAUAUGAGACUGCCGGGGUCAACUCGGAGGAAGGUGGGGAUGAGGUCAAAUCAUCAUGCCCCUUAUGUCUUGGGCUUCACGCAUGCUACAAUGGCCGGUACAAAGGGCUGCAAUACCGCAAGGUGGAGCGAAUCCCAAAAAGCCGGUCUCAGUUCGGA